UCUGUAGGAUAAUAUAUGUGUGUGUAUUAAAAUAUAUGUACAUAUGUUAUGCAUGUGAAAUGUAUAACCAGUGUGUGUACGUGUGAAAUUUGGGUAAACUACACUUGCUGUGUGAUCUGGUGCAGAUGUACAGUGCAAUGUACUUACUGUGUGAUUUGGUACAGUUACACGAAGAAUCUAAGUAUCAUGUGCUUGAUGUGUGAUCUGGCAUAUGAUGAUUCAGAAAGUGUUUUAAAAUGUAUGACUCUAAUGUGCGUGAUGAUAUCGUGUAUUUUGUAUGUGCUUGUUUGUAUUUUAUUACGUGUAAAAAUUAAGAUCUUAGGUAUGAAAUAAGUGAAUUAGAAAUGAGAGAGAUUUAGAAAGAGCACAGAGUAUAAGGACCCUAGAUACCUACUUAUUUAGUUUGAAUCGAAGAGGGGAGGGUGCAUGUGUGGCUGAAGUUCAGCGGGUAUGGUGAACUUGCACAUGGAUAGUGUUUGAAACCUAAUCCAG
rnacentral:lncRNA from 1 species